rnacentral:rRNA from 1 species
AUUGAACGCUGGCGGCAGGCUUAACACAUGCAAGUCGAGCGGGGUGAUGGUGCUUGCACUAUCACUUAGCGGCGGACGGGUGAGUAAUGCUUAGGAAUCUGCCUAUUAGUGGGGGACAACAUCUCGAAAGGGAUGCUAAUACCGCAUACGUCCUACGGGAGAAAGCAGGGGAUCACUUGUGACCUUGCGCUAAUAGAUGAGCCUAAGUCGGAUUAGCUAGUUGGGGGGGUAAAGGCCUACCAAGGCGACGAUCUGUAGCGGGUCUGAGAGGAUGGUCCGCCACACUGGGACUGGGACACGGCCCAGACUCCUACGGGAGGCAGCAGUGGGGAAUAUUGGACAAUGGGGGGAACCCUGAUCCAGCCAUGCCGCGUGUGUGAAGAAGGCCUUAUGGUUGUAAAGCACUUUAAGCGAGGAGGAGGCUCUCUUGGUUAAUACCCAAGAUGAGUGGACGUUACUCGCAGAAUAAGCACCGGCUAACUCUGUGCCAGCCGCCGCCGUAA